CCUCGCCUUUUUAUGAAUGGAAGGCGGCCAUACUGAAUGAACCGCGUACACGAAGCAGUCGGCCGCUAUUUUCGCAGGCCAGCGGGGUGAGCGCGGGGGGCGGGAGCCGGAAACGGGCUGCGAGCGCGAGCGGUGCCAAAUUUUGCGGCGCGGGCGACGGUAGCGGAUGCGCUCGUUUAUCGAGCUUCCGGCGAGAUCCCCCCGCGCAACCGCAUCCGGGAAUUAGGUUUCCGGCCAACGAGACCAACGAACACCCCGCCCACUUUCCUUUAACGAUUAUUACUCACUAUGAUAACGAGAGCCUAUCUGAUGAAACGGGUUCAAUUAUUCGUUCAAGUUCACGUCAUAUUUUUGCCGCUUUUGCUGUGGCCUCUGAUGAAGGUCGUUUUGCGUACACAAUAUUAAUAAAGUUUCUCUUUCUAUGCACCAAAUUCCGAUGCGAUCUGAACAAUAAGUGAUUCAAUUGAGUUUACAUGAAAUGCGAUGCUCAUCAGAGAGGAAAUAAUGGGUGGCCGAAAGAGACUUGCUAAGGAUAAGGCGAAUCCUCGUCACAGAAAUCACAAAACGAUGACUGCGUUAAAACAUAAUAUACAAAAGUUUUGUGCCAAUACUUUAACAAACUCGCAGUUUAAUAUCGUAAAAGACGCUUUUAUAAUAUAUAUGUGAGGAUUUUAGUGUCGUUCAUAAACAAAGUUGAUCACUGAAUGAAUAGUUGUCACGAGUCCAUUCACAACAUGUGACCUUAGCCGACCCGCGUAUGCGAAACGAUAGAUUCGAUCUCGCGUGUGUUAGACGGAGCUGUAUAAAAUUCUUCUCAUUUUAAUUGAAGGCAAUUACAUAAAUUCCACGUAG